CAGGUCUUGACAUCCUCUGAAAAUCCUAGAGAUAGGACUUUCCCCUUCGGGGGACAGAGUGACAGGUGGUGCAUGGUUGUCGUCAGCUCGUGUCGUGAGAUGUUGGGUUAAGUCCCGCAACGAGCGCAACCCUUGUCCUUAGUUGCCAGCAUUCAGUUGGGCACUCUAAGGAGACUGCCGGUGACAAACCGGAGGAAGGUGGGGAUGACGUCAAAUCAUCAUGCCCCUUAUGACCUGGGCUACACACGUGCUACAAUGGAUGGUACAAAGGGUUGCGAGACCGCGAGGUUUAGCCAAUCCCAUAAAACCAUUCUCAGUUCGGAUUGUAGGCUGCAACUCGCCUACAUGAAGCCGGAAUCGCUAGUAAUCGUGGAUCAGCAUGCCACGGUGAAUACGUUCCC
rnacentral:rRNA from 1 species